rnacentral:tRNA from 1 species
GGAGUUGUGGCUCAGUGGUAGAGUGCUCGCCUAGCACAUGUGAGGCACAGGAUUCAAUCCUCAGCACCA